UGAGGAAUAUUGGUCAAUGGGCGCAAGCCUGAACCAGCCAUGCCGCGUGCAGGAUGAAGCAUCUAUGGUGUGUAAACUGCUUUUGUACGGGAAGAAACAGCUCUUCGUGAAGAGCCUUGACGGUACCGUAAGAAUAAGGAUCGGCUAACUCCGUGCCAGCAGCCGCGGUAAUACGGAGGAUCCAAGCGUUAUCCGGAAUCAUUGGGUUUAAAGGGUCCGUAGGCGGUUUUAUAAGUCAGUGGUGAAAUCCGGCAGCUCAACUGUCGAACUGCCAUUGAUACUGUAGGACUUGAAUUAUUAUGAAGUAACUAGAAUAUGUAGUGUAGCGGUGAAAUGCUUAGAUAUUACAUGGAAUACCAAUUGCGAAGGCAGGUUACUAAUAAUGGAUUGACGCUGAUGGACGAAAGCGUGGGGAGCGAACAGGAUUAGAUACCCUGGUAGUCCACGCCGUAAACGAUGGAUACUAGCUGUUCGGUAGCAAUACUGAGUGGCUAAGCGAAAGUGAUAAGUAUCCCACCUGGGGAGUACGAACGCAAGUUUGA
rnacentral:rRNA from 1 species